CCUACGGGAGGCAGCAGUGGGGAAUUUUGGACAAUGGGCGCAAGCCUGAUCCAGCAAUGCCGCGUGAGUGAAGAAGGSCUUCGGGUUGUAAAGCUCUUUUGUCAGGGAAGAAACGGUGAGCUCUAAUACAGUUUGCUAAUGACGGUACCUGAAGAAUAAGCACCGGCUAACUACGUGCCAGCAGCCGCGGUAAU
rnacentral:rRNA from 1 species